UCAUUAAAGUCUGGUUCUUUUCUUGGCCACCGCUUAAAACCCAGUAACCAAUUCAUACAUACAAGAAUCAAAACUCAUUCAAAGUGUGGCCACCGUCACACAGAAAUCCAGAAGAGCAGUCAAUUUCAACAAAGUUCUUCAGGAGUAACUCCAAUCUCGCUUUUCAGGACAAGAUAUCAACAGGUCACACCAUCGAAGCAAACGUAAGUUUUGUCGCUUUAUCGACGUCGAGAGAUGAUAAC